GGUGGAGUGGCCGAGCGGCUGAAGGCGCUGGUUUGCUAAACCAGUAUAGGGUUUAUAGCUCUAUCGAGGGUUCGAAUCCCUCCUCCACCGCCA
rnacentral:tRNA from 1 species